rnacentral:rRNA from 1 species
GGGGCUCUGCGCGGCUACCAUGCAGUCGAGCGGAGCCAUGAAAGCACUUCUGUGUGAGUAGAGCGGCGGACGGGUGAGUAAUGCUUGGGAAUUUGCCCAGUAGUGGGGGACAACAUGUGGAAACGCAUGCUAAUACCGCAUACGCCCUAUGGGGGAAAGCAGGGGAUCUUCGGACCUUGCGCUAUUGGAGAAGCCUGCGUCGGAUUAGCUAGUUGGUGGGGUAAAGGCCCACCAAGGCAACGAUCCGUAGCUGGUCUGAGAGGAUGAUCAGCCACACUGGGACUGAGACACGGCCCAGACUCCUACGGGAGGCAGCAGUGGGGAAUAUUGGACAAUGGGCGAAAGCCUGAUCCAGCCAUGCCGCGUGUGUGAAGAAGGCCUUAGGGUUGUAAAGCACUUUCAGUAGGGAGGAAAAGUUAGUCGUUAAUAACGGCUAACCCUGACGUUACCUACAGAAGAAGCACCGGCAAACUCCGUGCCAGCAGCCGCGGUAAUACGAGGGGUGCAAGCGUUAAUCGGAAUUACUGGGCGUAAAGCGCGCGUAGGUGGUUAGGUAAGUUGGAUGUGAAAGCCCCGGGCUUAACCUGGGAACUGCAUUCAAAACUGUCUAGCUGGAGUACGGAUAAGGGGGGUAGAAUUUCAGGUGUAGCGGUGAAAUGCGUAGAGAUCUGAAGGAAUACCAGUGGCGAAGGCGGCCCCCUGGAUUGAUACUGACACUGAGGUGCGAAAGCGUGGGUAGCAAACAGGAUUAGAUACCCUGGUAGUCCAUGCCGUAAACGAUGUCAACUAGCCGUUGGAAGACUUGAUCUUUUAGUGGCGCAGCUAACGCAAUAAGUUGACCGCCUGGGGAGUACGGCCGCAAGGUUAAAACUCAAAUGAAUUGACGGGGGCCCGCACAAGCGGUGGAGCAUGUGGUUUAAUUCGAAGCAACGCGAAGAACCUUACCUACUCUUGACAUCCUCAGAACUUAGCAGAGAUGCUUUGGUGCCUUCGGGAACUGAGUGACAGGUGCUGCAUGGCUGUCGUCAGCUCGUGUUGUGAAAUGUUGGGUUAAGUCCCGUAACGAGCGCAACCCUUGUCCUUAUUUGCCAGCACGUAAUGGUGGGAACUUUAAGGAGACUGCCGGUGACAAACCGGAGGAAGGUGGGGACGACGUCAAGUCAUCAUGGCCCUUAUGAGUAGGGCUACACACGUGCUACAAUGGCGGGUACAGAGGGCAGCGAGACCGCGAGGUGGAGCAAAUCCCAGAAAGCCGGUCGUAGUCCGGAUUGGAGUCUGCAACUCGACUCCAUGAAGUCGGAAUCGCUAGUAACCGCGACAUUGCUCGAUCUUUU